UAAAGAAUAAUUUUUAAUAAUUUGGAAAGAUGAUAUGAAAGACUAAUUAUAGUGAAAGUAUUCCAUAAUGAAACAAUACAUAUUACAUUUUUGAAGGUAUUAUCUAUGUACAUGUUUCAUGUGUUCCAAAGUUUUUUUCUCAAGGGGUAGAAUUAAGAAUGAUUUUUACUAUCGGCAUACUCAAUUUUUUAAAGUUUCUAUUAUGAUACCAUGUUAUUUGUAUAAAAAUAAAUGUGUAAGGUAGAUAAAAACAAAAAUAGGAACAGUACCCCUGAUAAAAUAUUGGAAAACUACAGAAAUAACUGCAUAACUGCAAUAGCAAGCCUAAACAACUGUCAAGGUUUCCAUUCUCUCACAUUAUUUGUGUACUUAGGGUAAGUUGAUACCAUUUUUGUGGAUAGUCAUUUAAAAAGAAACUCCCCAAAAGAGAAGAAAAAGAUUUCAAACCUUCCAUGUCCUUUGAUCCUAAAUUUGCUCUCACAAAUGUUUGUUCAGAAAAUAAUAUUGAAUGUAAGCAAGGUUUGUGUACUAUGUAUAAUUAGCAGCUAGGGUUUGGAUUAGAAAAACCGAUGUUCACAACCAAAUGUGCAACAAUGAGAAAGCUGUGAAAUAUACCCCCAUAUCUAUAUCUAAACAUGUAUAGAGAUGAAUACCUAUAUCUAUCUAUUCCUCUAUCAAGCCCCACCACUGGAACACUAAAGAGUCACAAAACUAUUAUAAAAGAAUAUUUAAUGACAUGAAAGGAACUUCAAGAAUAUCUAUACAUCUAUAUCUAUCUAUAAUAUAUAUUCAUGUAUGAAAAAGCAGAUAUUGAAACAGUAUAUACAUUAAAAUUCACAUAUAUAUCACAUGAAAAAUACUGGGCAAGUGCAUAUGAAAAUGAUUUAGGAAUGUAGGCGUGUUGAUUAGGAUUGAUUAGUAGGGACAUUAAAUUUCUUCUGUUAACUUGUCUGCUUUGUUAUUUUUGUCUGCAAUGAAGCUGAAUGAUUUUUCUGACAAUGGGGAAAAGGGCAGCAAGUGGGCACAGGGAAAGAGCAUUUACAACCCCAAACAGGGAAGUGCCAUUUGCAGCCCAUCGAGCUGGCCAAGACACGCACAUGCACGCACCCGCGCGUGCACACACAGACGCGCACACACAUCAAUUACAGUGACCAGGAGACUAUGCAGGGGAAAUGGACACACUCGUUUUACUAGCUGUGCUGGCUGGCAUGAACGCAAAUCAGUACAAUGCUUAUGAAGGGGCCAUUUGGCAACACACGGGAAAAGUCUUUAAAAUAUCCUAUUGUGGAUCCUGCAAGUCGACAAUUAAGAAGACCAUCCGGUAGGCUAGCGAAGAUUUGGCUUGACAAGGAAGGAUUCAUUCAUCAGAGUAUGCAAUGUUGGGUUUAAACACAAGGAAAGAACUGGGCACCAACUGAAUGUCCAAUAAUGUGGGAUUGAUUACAGAAAUGUUAAAGAUCCAUCUAUACACUCUGCAGGCACUGAAGAUGACAUUUCUGAAGCCUGUUGAAUAGCAUGGAAAGAAGUUCAAUGGGUUGAUUUUUGUUUGGUUUUAGUUUCUGAAGAAGCAGGUUAAGAAACACCACACAUAGGAACCAUUCUAUAAUGGUGUGUAAAGGGAAGGUGGGGGUGGAGUGAGGAAGGGAGGGAGAGAGAAGAAGAGAAGAGAGCCUGUAAAAACAGCACACCAAGAAGUGGCUGUCUCUGGGUAGUAGGAUCACUGGGAACAAUUACUCUCUUGGCUUUCCCUCAUCUGAUCUCCUUUUCCUUUCUGAUGUUUCCACCAUGAAAUUGUGUCACCUGUGUAGUGAAGGAAGCAAGCAUGAAGGUGCUUUUUAAACCAAACCACAAGGAGAAGAGGCAGCCUGUAAUCUAUCAAGUGGCACAGAUUAGCAAGAUUAUUCGCAACGCCCUUGGUGGGGGGGGGGGGAAUGGGGGAAAGCAGAAGAGAGGAAGAGGGGAGGAGGUGGAGGAGGAAGAGGGUAGGAAAGGUGAGAGGGAGAGAGGGAGAAGGAGAGAGGGAGAGAGAGGAAGGGGGGGAGAGAUCGAGGGAAAGGAAGGAGGGAGGGAGGGUGAGAGGAGAGAGAGAGAUAGAGAGAGAGACAGAGAGAGAGAGAUAAAGAGAGACCUGCACUCCCAGUACAAUACAAUACAUUGCUGGUGGGAGAGAGGGAGAAGGAGAGAGGGAGAGAGAGGAAGGGGGGGAGAGAUCGAGGGAAAGGAAGGAGGGAGGGAGGGUGAGAGAGAGAGAGGAGAGAGAGAGAGAGAGAGAGAGAGAGAGAGAGAGAGAGAGAGAUAAAGAGAGACCUGCACUCCCAGUACAAUACAAUACACUGCUGGUGGGUUAGAGGGGCAAAGAGGGUGGUUGUAAACCGGGUGGGAGCCAAGGUUUGGCUCUGCUGGCUGGCUCGUCCCUGGCAUGUCUUCAUCGCAAGGUGGCCUCCUCAUCCGUGUCUUCCUCGAAAUCUUUGACGUCAGCACUGGUGGACUGCCUGGCCCAGGCUCCCCUUUCGGCCUCUCGUUCUUUAUGCGACUUGAAUCUCCCAACGAAAAUUUUGCGGUAGUUCAGGAACAUGCCAUUCAUCGCAUCAAUGGCUCGCUCUGCGGACUCCUGCUUCUGGAAGUGCACAAACCCGUAGCCCUUGGGCCCCUUUUCGUCGCAGGCCACUUUGCAGGACAGGAUGUUGCCAAACGCCGAGAAGAUGUUGUACAGCGCCUUGUUGUCGAUGGUCUUGCCCAGGUUCUUGAUGAAGACGUUGCCCACCCCACUCUUGCGGAGCGAGGGGUCCCGCUGGGACCACAUGAUGCGCACGGGCCUGCCCUUGAUCACAUCAAAGUUCAGGGUUUCCAGGGCCCGCUUGGCAUCCACCGGUUGCUGGUAGUUGACGUACGCGUAGCCCAACGAGCGGCGGGUGAUCUUGUCCCUGCAAAUGCGGAUGGACAGGAUGGGCCCGGCCGGGCUGAACUUCUCAUACAGCAUUGCCUCUGUCACUUCAGGAUGCAGGUCGCCCACGUACAGCGAGGCCAUAGGAAAGUCUGGGUUGCCUUCGGAGCCCCGGCUGGUCUCCGCAUCCACAUCUGCAGCCGCCGCUGCCGCCGCCGCCGCCGCAGCCGCCGCUGCCGCCGCCGCCGCCGCAGCC
rnacentral:lncRNA from 1 species